GACGAACGCUGGCGGCGUGCCUAAUACAUGCAAGUCGAACGCAGUUGCGAACGGGUGAGUAACGCGCAGGUAACUGCCUCAUAGCGGGGGAUAACUAUUGGAAACGAUAGCUAAUACCGCAUACUGUGAGAUGUAGCUUCGUUGUAUUAGCUAGUUGGUGAGGUAAAGGCUCACCAAGGCGACGAUACAUAGCCGACCUGAGAGGGUGGACGGGCAAACUGGGACUGGGAAACGGCCCAGACUUCCACGGGAGGGAGCAGUAGGGAAUCAUCGGCAAAGGACGGAAGUCUUACCGAGGAAAGCCGCGGGGGUGAAGAAGGUUUUCGGAUCGUAAAGCUCUGUUGUUAGGGAAGCGGUACCGAACCAGAAAGGGACGGCUAACUACGUGCCAGCCGCCGCGGUAAUAC
rnacentral:rRNA from 1 species